rnacentral:lncRNA from 1 species
AUAAAGCUACCAUACCCACUAAUCCAGACAGCACCAGAAGCGGCAGCACCACCGUGAAGCUCCGAUCACCACCCGAGAUAGAUUGCACAACGGGAUACAGAUCACCUGGUGGACCAGUUAUGUAAAUGUAAUUGGGCGGGGCUAGCCCACCUCCACCUCCACCUCCACUAUACGGAGGUGGUGGGCAGUUCGCACCGGAAGAUGGAGGCGGCUUCUUCUUCGGCGGUGGUGGUGGAGAUGGAGGCGGCGGCGAUGGUGAUGGAGGUGGAGGACUGGUGUAGCAAGUCGUUCCACAGGGACAACUUCCACACUUGAUUUGGUCAUCCGGUGUUCCUACAGGGUUGGUGGUUUCAUCAAGCUUUCUUGGGUUCAUUGCUUUGAUCGUAGACGGAAUCACCGCCAUAGCCAGGAUGAUC